UUCAAAAUCGCUGUGUUGUGACAGUCUUGCACAGUAUUCACUUUCACAUAGUGUUCAUUACAAGUUGUUAUACCAGCAUAAAUGGCGUGUUGAGUCCGGUGACACUAUAAGAUUGAGUGUGUGCGUGAUCUGAAGCAACGUCCAUGUCUUCUGUUACGACACAACACUCCAGGUACUUGUGCGUUUUCAUGACUAUUGUUCCCGGGGCAUAUAUGGUCGAUGUAGUUUUUAACUUCCACAUCGCCUACGACAGGUGCUGAGUUUAUUGUCUCCAAAGCAUCUGAAGGCCGGCCAGGAACAACGGCGUCGAUGUUCGCAAAUUGCAGCACCUCCUGGUGCAGUUUUUGUCUGCACCACCACUACUCAUCAAGCCAUAGUGCAUGGAUGGACCACCUGAUAUUUCUGAGUAGGAGCUGCAAUUAUUUCCAAAGAGAUCAACGAACACUGUCUCCAGACAGAAUAAGGGAGAAAAAGACUCACAAUGCUCCUGAUGCAUUGGAUUUGAAUUCAACAGUAAUUGGUAUACCACAGCAGAACGUGAAAUUCUUCAAGUUUCCACUAACUUCAACUGUGAAGUCACAUCGCAUAGAUGGACUACCAAAUAAUCAGAGCAGGACACAAAACCAUUUGCUGCAGCAGUACCAUCUUUCACUGAUCCACUGCUAUAUGGUCCCAGUGUGCUGUUGUUCACCGGGAUACAUAAUUUGACUGGCAGUGGAUCGAAAUAUGUAAAUAUAGGUAUAGAAGUAUAGAGUGAUUGUGAGGUGAUAAUUAUCAAGAGUAUCAAACAUGGUGCUAAAGUGGAGUUUACAGAGACUGUGUGGGAUGCAUUAUUUGGAAAGUUGGAGUACAUUGAUUCUCAGAUGAUGACCAAGUAUGACUUGCCUCACACUCUAAUCAACAUCCACCCCUUUGGUAUUUACGUAUCCAUUAUUGAAAUGUAUGGACGCAACACUCAAGGUAACAUUUUGGUUGUUAUGAACUUGCAUGGUCUAUUUGCAUACCAGAUUGUGACAGACAGCUGAGUCAUUAAUGAUCAUAUGUCAAUGCUGUAUUCAGUGACUUUGGAAUUUACCUUUGUGAGCACAGUGAAUAGGUGGAUGACUUAGAACAGUGUAUAUAUUCAUGUGUUCCUGCAUUGCCAAGGUCAGCUACUAUCACAUUCAGAAGUACUGAGUCCAUUCAAACCAAAUUUACAGGUGAAAUAACUAACUGUUUGGUCACUCUCAUCAGUUUUGAUAUGUUGCAGUGUGAAUCAAAGCAUGUAAGAAAUCGUUAUUUAGGCAGUACUGCAGUUUGGAUGCUGUAGAAAAAAAA